CACGUAGGGUGCAAGCGUUGUCCGGAAUUAUUGGGCGUAAAGGGCUCGUAGGCGGUCCGUCACGUCGGGAGUGAAAACUCGGGGCUCAACCCCGAGCCUGCUUUCGAUACGGGCAGACUGGAGUGUGGUAGGGGAGACUGGAAUUCCAGGUGUAGCGGUGAAAUGCGUAGAUAUCUGGAGGAACACCGGUGGCGAAGGCGGCAUCCUGGACCGGUAUUGACGCUGAGGCGCGAAAGCCAGGGGAGCAAAGCGGG
rnacentral:rRNA from 1 species